CUACGGGCGGCUCCAGUGGGGAAUAUUGGACAAUGGGCGCAAGCCUGAUCCAGCAAUGCCGCGUGAGUGAAGACGGCCUUAGGGUUGUAAAACUCUUUCGCUAGGGAAGAUAAUGACUGUACCUAGUAAAGAAGUCCCGGCUAACUCCGUGCCAGCAGCCGCGGUAAUACGGAGGGGACUAGCGUUGUUCGGAAUUACUGGGCGUAAAGAGUUCGUAGGCGGACUGACAAGUUAGAGGUGAAAUCCCAGGGCUCAACCCUGGAACUGCCUUUAAAACUGUCAGUCUAGAGACCGGAAGAGGUUAGGGGAAUACCUAGUGUAGAGGUGAAAUUCGUAGAUAUUAGGUGGAACACCAGCGGCGAAGGCGCCUAACUGGUCCGGUACUGACGCUGAGGAACGAAAGCGUGGGGAGCAAACAGGAUUAGAUACCCCGGUAGUC
rnacentral:rRNA from 1 species